rnacentral:rRNA from 1 species
UACAGAGGGGGCAAGCGUUGUUCGGAAUUACUGGGCGUAAAGGGCGCGUAGGCGGCCUUCUAAGUCGAACGUGAAAUCCCCGGGCUCAACCCGGGAACUGCGUCCGAUACUGGAAGGCUUGAAUCCGGGAGAGGGAUGCGGAAUUCCAGGUGUAGCGGUGAAAUGCGUAGAUAUCGGAAGGAACGCCGGUGGCGAAAGGCGGCCGAU